GAUGAACGCUGGCGGUAUGCUUAACACAUGCAAGUCGAACGGACUCUUCGGAGUUAGUGGCGGACGGGUGCGUAACGCGUGAGAAUCUGGCUUUGGGUUCGGGACAACCACUGGAAACGGUGGCUAAUACCGGAUGUGCCGAGAGGUAAAAGAGAAAUUGCCUGCAGAUGAGCUCGCGUCUGAUUAGCUAGUUGGUGAGGUAAAGGCUCACCAAGGCAGCGAUCAGUAGCUGGUCUGAGAGGAUGACCAGCCACCCUGGGACUGAGACACGGCCCAGACUCCUACGGGAGGCAGCAGUGGGGAAUUUUCCGCAAGGGGCGAAAGCCUGACGGAGAAAUACCGCGUGAGGGAAGAAGGCUCUUGGGUUGUAAACCUCUUUUCUUAGGGAAGAACAAAAUGACGGUACCUAAGGAAUCAGCAUCGGCUAACUCCGUG
rnacentral:rRNA from 1 species